rnacentral:rRNA from 1 species
UACGUAGGGGGCAAGCGUUGUCCGGAAUCACUGGGCGUAAAGCGCGCGCAGGCGGUCAUCUACGUCUGGGGUGAAAGCCCGGAGCUCAACUCCGGGAUUGCCUUGGAUACGGGAUGACUUGAGGAUCGGAGAGGCAAGGGGAAUUCCACGUGUAGCGGUGAAAUGCGUAGAGAUGCGGAGGAACACCGAUGGCGAAGGCAGCCCCCUGGGUCGACACUGACGCUCAGGCACGAAAGCGUGGGGAGCAAACAGG